rnacentral:rRNA from 1 species
UACGGGGGGAGCAAGCGUUGUUCGGAUUUACUGGGCGUAAAGGGCGCGUAGGCGGCCAUGACAAGUCACUUGUGAAAUCUCCGGGCUUAACUCGGAACGGUCAAGUGAUACUGUCGGGCUAGAGUGCAGAAGGGGCAACUGGAAUUCUCGGUGUAGCGGUGAAAUGCGUAGAUAUCGAGAGGAACACCUGCGGCGAAGGCGGGUUGCUGGGCUGACACUGACGCUGAGGCGCGAAAGCCAGGGGAGCGAACGGG